rnacentral:rRNA from 1 species
UACGUAGGGGGCAAGCGUUGUCCGGAAUCAUUGGGCGUAAAGAGCUCGUAGGCGGUUUGUCGCGUCGACUGUGAAAACCCGAGGCUUAACCUCGGGCCUGCAGUCGAUACGGGCAGACUAGAGUUCGGUAGGGGAGACGUGGAAUUCCUGGUGUAGCGGUGAAAUGCGCAGAUAUCAGGAGGAACACCGGUGGCGAAGGCGGGUCUCUGGGCCGAUACUGACGCUGAGGAGCGAAAGCGUGGGGAGCGAACAGG